CCUACGGGAGGCAGCAGUGAGGAAUAUUGGUCAAUGGGCGCGAGCCUGAACCAGCCAAGUAGCGUGAAGGAUGACUGCCCUACGGGUUGUAAACUUCUUUUAUAAAGGAAUAAAGUGAGGCACGUGUGCCUUUUUGUAUGUACUUUAUGAAUAAGGAUCGGCUAACUCCGUGCCAGCAGCCGCGGUAAUACGGAGGAUCCGAGCGUUAUCCGGAUUUAUUGGGUUUAAAGGGAGCGUAGGUGGGUUGUUAAGUCAGUUGUGAAAGUUUGCGGCUCAACCGUAAAAUUGCAAUUGAAACUGGCAGUCUUGAGGACAGUUGAGGUAGGCGGAAUUCGUGGUGUAGCGGUGAAAUGCUUAGAUAUCACGAAGAACUCCGAUUGCGAAGGCAGCCUACUAGACUGCAACUGACAUUGAGGCUCGAAAGUGUGGGUAUCAAACAGGAUUAGAUACCCCAGUAGUC
rnacentral:rRNA from 1 species